rnacentral:rRNA from 1 species
UACGGGGGGGCAAGCGUUGUUCGGAAUUACUGGGCGUAAAGGGCUCGUAGGCGGCCAACUAAGUCGGAUGUGAAAUCCCCAGGCUCAACCUGGGAACUGCAUCCGAUACUGGAUGGCUUGAAUUCGGGAGAGGGAUGCAGAAUUCCAGGUGUAGCGGUGAAAUGCGUAGAUAUUGGGAAGAACACCGGUGGCGAAGGCGGCCAUCUGGACCGCAACUGACGCUGAGGCGCGAAAGCGGUGGG